rnacentral:lncRNA from 1 species
CUCCGCAGGAAGGUGAAGGCUGUUUAUGUAAUCGGCGGCGCCUCGCGGGCGACUGGGGGAAGUGGAUGGGGGAGCCUGGCCAGGGCUGACUGAGCGCCCCUGGAAUCCGUGCUCCGGGCGUUGGCUCACUCCCGCCCCGACACCUGGGCCCGCCCUCCCGCUGCGCAGCCACGCGCCGGGCAGCAGCGUGGGCUGGCGGGCGACUCCCCACGCCUCCUGCAACACCGCCCUCUCCCUACCGGAGCGAGGAGGCAGGAAAAGCCUAGAGACGCCUGGUCCCAUCCGCCUACCCAGUCCCCAGCCGGCCUGAAGGGAGGAAGAGGAAGGAACCCAUAAUCAUCCCAAACUGGCGCAAAUGCCUGGAGUUGGUCUGGGGAAUAAAGAAUGGGAUGAAAUGGUGAGAGUCCAGAGGGGUUGAGCAAAGAACUCACUAUCACACAGCAAGGCACUAAUUUGAAAUGCCUGGGAGAAGUAGAAGCUGCAUUUGACUCUCAUAUUCUUAUUGGACCAGGAAGGCAGGAGGAGACACCAGUGUGCACCAGAGAAGGAGAAGUCAGAGAUGACAGUCCCUGCCUGAGGCCAUCUCUGGUCCACCAGACAACUCAUCACCAACUUCCCAACAGCCACUGCUCUAGGCCAGGUGUCCACAUGGGGAAUAGGUCCAGGCCCUCUAUGGCUCUCGCAGGAGUCAGGGAGGCAGAUAAAUAACAUAUCACAAAGACAGAAUAUAAGAAAUGCCUGGGAGGAGGCAUACUGAUGCGUGGAAAGUACUCAGCCAGAAGCCUGGCACUAGAAGGGCCCAGGGAUUGUUGGCAUGUAUGAGUCACAGUUCCAUUUCAGUGGAGUGAGCAGGGAGAGAAUCUCCUGGAAGUCCUUGGUGGAGCCUGAUGAUUGACAUCUUAAGCAAAUUCUCUGGAGAAGUCGAUGCUCCUGAUGGAGGCUCACACAUUGAUAACCCCUGGUUUAGAGACACUACUAAUUGUUCCAGCUCAUCCAGCUAAUAAAUGACAGAUCUCAGACU